GACGAACCUUGCUAACGUUAUUCGGAAUUACUGGGCUUAAAGGGUGCGUAGGCGGCUCAUCAAGUCCGGGGUGAAAGCCCCCAGCUUAACUGGGGAAGUGCCUCGGAUACUGGUGAGCUCGAGGGAGGUAGGGGCGGAUGGAACUUCCGGUGGAGCGGUGAAAUGCGUUGAUAUCGGAAGGAACGCCGGUGGCGAAAGCGAUCCGCUGGCCCUCUACUGACGCUGAGGCGCGAAAGCCAGGGGAGCAAACGGG
rnacentral:rRNA from 1 species